GGGGAUGUGGCGAAAUUGGUAGACGCACUGGAUUUAGGUUCCAGCGCCGCAAGGUGUGAGAGUUCGAGUCUCUCCGUCCCCACCA
rnacentral:tRNA from 1 species